rnacentral:tRNA from 1 species
UGGCUGAGCGGUAAAGCGCUUGGCUUUAGAACCGGGGUCCCGGGUUCGAAUCCUGG